UUUCUGCAGGGUUUAUACUUUCUUGCAAUUGCAUGCGUCAUUCCCCAGCGUUCUCAGCCAGCCAAUCCUUUCUCACAUUUCCUGCUCUCUCAUUGCUCUGCCCAGCCCCAAUGUGUCUCAUCCUCCGUUAGUACUUUCUUUUCACAUACCUCUGAGCAGCUACAAAAGACAGGUCCCUGCAAGGAACAGGAAGGACAGGUGUUUUCACAUGGUUUCACGCUGUUUCUUUGUGGCCCUGCUGGCCCUGGUGGUGUUGGCUCUGGAACAGUCCCCAGACACAGCCAUACGGCAAGGACAAUCCGUGAAUCUGAGCUGCUCCAAAAUGACAUCGUCCUAUACAAUGAUGUACUGGUACAAGAUGCCUUUGGGGAAUAACUCUGGGCUGAUCCUAGUGGCUACUGCAAUAAAAGGUAGCAAAGCAAAUGUUGAAGCGGAAUUCCAAAGCCACUUCAAGAGCAGUGAGAUACAAGGAGAUGGGAUGACCCUCUCGAUUGAGAGUGCCAUUCUCAGUGACUCUGGCAUGUAUUACUGUGCUGAAAGUGAAACACAGUGGGUAGGUUGAUGAGGGACCUGAGCACAAACCUCUCCCUGCACAAAAGGGAACGACUAUCCUCCUCCUCUGCACGGCACAAGGCAGGACAAUACCUUUGUACUCAUUACUGUCUCUGCUCCCUAGCCUUCCUUUCCUCCUCAGACUCUUCCCUUCUUUCUCUCCUUCCCUCUCCACUCCGCCUCCCUCUUUGUUUGCUCUCAUUUACAUUAUAUUCACCUCUGACAAUCGGUCUAACCCUCUCUGCCUCCUUUUCUCUCCCCACCUUCUUUCCAACUCUCCUCAAUCCUCACUCCAUAGACUUCCUCUCAUUUCAGUCCACUUUUCUGGCUUCUCUCAUCAAACCUCCCUAUUUUCCC